GACGAACGCUGGCGGCGUGCUUAACACAUGCAAGUCGAGCGGGAAACUUCGGUUUCCAGCGGCGGACGGGUGAGUAACACGUGGGCAACCUGCCUCACAAUGAGGGAUGGCCUUCCGAAGGGAAGAUUAAUACCUCAUAAUACAAGAGAAACGCAUGUUUCUCUUGCCAAAGAAUUUCGUUGUGAGAUGGGCCCGCGGCGCAUUAGCUUGUUGGUGAGGUAACGGCUCACCAAGGCUGCGAUGCGUAGCCGGCCUGAGAGGGUGAUCGGCCACAUUGGAACUGAGACACGGUCCAGACUCCUACGGGAGGCAGCAGUGGGGAAUAUUGCACAAUGGAGGAAACUCUGAUGCAGCAACGCCGCGUGAGUGAUGAAGGUCUUCGGAUUGUAAAGCUCUGUCUUCUGGGACGAUAAUGACGGUACCAGAGGAGGAAGCCACGGCUAACUACGUGCCAGCCGCCGCCGUAA
rnacentral:rRNA from 1 species